GGGGAUGUAGCUCAAUUGGUAGAGCACUAAUGAAAAGCUUCUUAGGUGUUCGGGGUUCAACUCCUCGCAUCUCCA
rnacentral:tRNA from 1 species